AGAGUUUGAUCCUGGCUCAGGAUGAACGCUAGCGGCAGGCCUAAUACAUGCAAGUCGAACGGUAAGGUCUCUUCGGAGAUACACGAGUGGCGCACGGGUGCGGGUGCGUAACGCGUAUGCAACCUACCUUUAACUGGAGGAUAGCCCGAAAAAAUUCGGAUUAAUACCCCAUAAUAUAUGUCUUUCGCAUGUUAGAGUUCUUAAAGCUCCGGCGGUUAAGGAUGGGCAUGCGUCCUAUUAGUUAGUUGGUGAGGUAACGGCUCACCAAGACUCCGAUAGGUAGGGGGCCUGAGAGGGUUGUCCCCCACACUGGUACUGAGACACGGACCAGACUCCUACGGGAGGCAGCAGUGAGGAAUAUUGGUCAAUGGACGAAAGUCUGAACCAGCCAUGCCGCGUGCAGGAUGAAUGCCCUACGGGUUGUAAACUGCUUUUAUAUAGGAAGAAACCCGAGAACGUGUUCUCGGCUGACGGUACUAUAAGAAUAAGGACCGGCUAACUCCGUGCCAGCAGCCGCGGUAAUACGGAGGGUCCAAGCGUUAUCCGGAUUCAUUGGGUUUAAAGGGUCCGUAGGCGGGAAAAUAAGUCAGUGGUGAAAUCUUCCAGCUCAACUGGGAAACUGCCAUUGAUACUGAUGUUCUUGAGUUUGGUUGAAGUAAGCGGAAUGAGGCAUGUAGCGGUGAAAUGCAUAGAUAUGCCUCAGAACACCGAUCGCGAAGGCAGCUUACUAAGCCAAUACUGACGCUGAGGCACGAAAGCGUGGGGAGCAAACAGGAUUAGAUACCCUGGUAGUCCACGCCGUAAACGAUGAUUACUCGUUGCUAGCGAUACACUGUUAGUGACUAAGCGAAAGUGUUAAGUAAUCCACCUGGGGAGUACGAUCGCAAGGUUGAAACUCAAAGGAAUUGACGGGGGCCCGCACAAGCGGUGGAGCAUGUGGUUUAAUUCGAUGAUACGCGAGGAACCUUACCAGGGCUUAAAUGUAGGAAGACCAGUUUGGGAAACCAGAUUUUCUUCGGACGGCCUACAAGGUGCUGCAUGGUUGUCGUCAGCUCGUGCUGUGAAGUGUCGGGUUAAGUCCCAUAACGAGCGCAACCCCUAUUUCUAGUUGCCAGCGGAUAAUGCCGGGGACUCUAGAGAAACUGCCGGUGCAAACCGUGAGGAAGGUGGGGAUGACGUCAAAUCAUCACGGCCCUUACGUCCUGGGCCACACACGUGCUACAAUGGUCGGUACAGAGGGCAGCUACCCCGCGAGGGGAUGCGAAUCUCUAAAGCCGGUCUCAGUUCGGAUCGAAGUCUGCAACUCGACUUCGUGAAGCUGGAAUCGCUAGUAAUCGCGCAUCAGCCAUGGCGCGGUGAAUACGUUCCCGGGCCUUGUACACACCGCCCGU
rnacentral:rRNA from 1 species